UACGGAGGAUGCAAGCGUUAUCCGGAUUCAUUGGGUUUAAAGGGUGCGUAGGCGGACUAUUAAGUCAGUGGUGAAAGCCUGCAGCUUAACUGCAGAACUGCCAUUGAUACUGAUAGUCUUGAGUUUGGUUAAGGUAGGCGGAAUGUGUAAUGUAGCGGUGAAAUGCAUAGAUAUUGCACGGAACACCAAUUGCGAAGGCAGCUUACUGGACCAUUACUGACGCUCAGGCACGAAAGCGUGGGGAUCAAACA
rnacentral:rRNA from 1 species